rnacentral:rRNA from 1 species
AGUGAACGCUGGCGGCGUGCCUAAUACAUGCAAGUCGAACGGAGUGGCGCACGGGUGCGUAAUAUCUAGCUAAUCUGCCCCUUGCUGGAGGACAACAGUUAGAAAUGACUGCUAAUACUCCAUAGCAAGGGCUGGGACUGUAUCGUAUCAGCUAGUCGGUGGGGUAACGGCCUACCGAGGCUAUGACGCGUAACAGGUCUGAGAGGAUGCUCAGUCACGUUCGAACUGAGACACAGUGCAAACUACCACGGGAUGGAGCAGUAGGGAAUAUGGCGGAAUGCGGGAAACCCUGUCGGAGCGACGCCGCGUUGAGGAGUACACGUAUCGAAGGGUAGACGCCUGUUGUUUGGGUAGCGGUACCUGACGAAUAAGCACCGGCUAACUCCGUGCCAGCAGCCGCGGUAAUAC